UCUCUACCAACAAUCCACGCCACUCGGUAUAGACCUUCUGGUUCUCGGAUUUGUUUUGCUAGAUCUGUUCGAUUUCGUUCAUUGCCUUUGAAUUUACUUUUCGUAUUCGGAUAGAUCGUUGGAAGGUCUAACUAUCGAUCAAGGCUUUGGGUGAUACGACUUCGGUCACUGGUUUCAUUUCAGCUCAGCUUUUGGUAGCUCUGAGCUUCAGAUAUCCAGAUGGAUGAACUACGGCUUUGAAAUCUCGUAUGGAUCUACUAAAUCUCUGUCCUUGGAUGAGAAUUUCUGUGCUUUGUCGAGAUCUGUUCGUACUCCGAUAGAUCUGUUUGGUGCCGGCGGUGACCAAUCGUUUAGUCGAUGAAGAAUUUCAGGCGACCAUGGUUUUGCAAGGGUUUGUUGGAUUGUUUUACUGCUAUACAUAUACAUAUAUAUAGUUCUGGUGCACUGUUUAUUUGUUUUCUUUCAUGUAGAGAGAGAUAGCGCUGUGAAAUGUGAAUGUUCUACUGGUUGUCACAGACCUUUGCCAUGUCAGGUGCGCUUGCAUGGCAGGUCAACAAAAAAACAUAAUAAAAUUUUGCCUUUUCGUGUUCGGGAGAUGGCAUGGGCUUUUUUGCCCGGCUCUCCCUGAUGUGUCUCGUGUCCUUUUUGUUCAUUUUUUUCUCUUCUCCUCUCACUGCCACAAAUCAGCUCUUUGCGAUGUUAAAUCUUCCUCAAACCCGUCUGAGGCCAACUUAGACACACGACUCUUCAUUUCAAGCCAGCAAACGCGAGGAUGGUAUCAAUUUCAUGGUUUUCAGUUCAAGAGGUACAGAUCGUGGUUUUCAUGGUUUUCCGUUAAUUCUUUAUAUACACUACAUAGUUUUCUCUUUUCAGAUUUUGUCACGUAUUGGUUGGAAAGAGCUAAAUUUGUGUCUCGACAUAAUGUCUUUCAGUAUACCUCUAGUAACUAAUUUGGUUUGUAUUUGCAAGCAUAAUUAAGGUUUUCGUUUUUUUGAAGAAAAACUUUAUACAAAUUGAAACCAAAUGAGCAUUUAAAGCUGUGAAAUACAAGCUAAUUUGACUCGUCCAUUGUAAGCAUCAUUUGUCUUUCAUUUUAUUUAUUUUUUUAUAAAUUUGUUUAUAAUUCCCACAAUCAUUGUGGGGAGAUGGCCUGAACCCUCGACCUUCCAAUGACCAAAUGCCUUUGGAUAAGCCUAAAGUUUUUAAUAAGAUUGUCUGUACAUUAAAUAGUGCCUUGGUGUAAGGCUAAAGUCGAUAAGCCAAUUAAAUUUUCUACACAUUAUAGGAUCAUAAGAGAGAAUCAAGAGAGCCUCUUCAAAUAUUUGGGAAUUUGUGUCAUGGAUUGCAUCAUUAAUUGUUGGUGUCUAUUGCAAAUUUUUUUGGCCAAAAAAGUGUUUCAAAAUUUGUUUUAAAUGACCAUUACAAACAUCUAUUGCUAAAUUUGUUUUGUCUCAAAUUCUUCCUACAAGUUGUCGGUCAACAAUAGCUUUUAACUGUUUCUCAUGGAUUGCAUAAUUAAAAACUGCUUCUACAGAGUCUUUUUUUGUAUUAUAAUGAAGUCUUGCACGGUUAAGAAUUGCACUGUGUGUUGUGUGUUGGGGAUGCUACUGUAUUGUGAUAUUGUAUUGUAAGGGGGAGGUUAUUGGGUGGUGGCUUUCAGGGAAGGAAUUUCUUGUAUUGGGUUUGAAAAUGAAGAUUGUAACAUAUUUUACUAAUGGUUGAGAGACACUAUGUUUGCUAAUGGGCCUUUGUGGUGCUUCUUCUCUGUCAACGGUGGUUGGUCACUGCUAUAGGUGGAGAGGCUCAACGUUUGCUAAUGGGCCUUUGUGGGGCUUCUUCCCCAUCAGUGGUGGUUGGUCAUUGCCACAUCAUUGCUGCGGAUCUUAUGGUGGUGUUUACAGCCAGGAAUUGCAGUUUAUUAUGUCGUGUUCAAUUGCCUCUGAUCCAGGUUAGAGGGUAUAUUUCCAUCUAUACUAAUUUGCAAUAACUUCAGUAUUUUAUACAACUCUCUUCCCAUUUUUUGAUACUCUCUUUGGUUUCUCUUUCAAAUGAUUGUGGUUCUGAUUAAUUAUGAUUGUAAACCGGGAAUGUUGUAUGCUGUUUGUAUUUGAGUUGUGUGACUGAGGUUUAUGGAAAGUGUGUUAAUUGUUUUUUUGGGUGCUUGUGUUGGUUAUACCUACUGUUCAGGUAUAUACAUUAAGUAUUGAUACUCCAUUUUUCUGUUAUAUAUUUUGUUCCUUCAAGACCAGUUAGGAUUUGCAGCCA